rnacentral:rRNA from 1 species
GACGUAGGGCGUGAGCGUUGUCCGGAUUUAUUGGGCGUAAAGAGCUCGUAGGCGGCUUGUCGCGUCGACCGUGAAAACCCGUGGCUCAACUACGGGCUGGCGGUCGAUACGGGCAGGCUGGAGUUCGGUAGGGGAGACUGGAAUUCCUGGUGUAGCGGUGAAAUGCGUAGAUAUCAGGAGGAAUACCUAUGGCGAAAGCAGGUAUCUGGGCCACAACUGACACUGAGCUGCGAAAGCUAGGGGAGCAAACAGG